UCGUAGUUGGAUCUCAGCCGCGCUCCGCGGGACGCGUCGCGAGGCGCCGUACCCGCGGGCCGGCAUUGGGCCGGCGGUCUCCGUUGGCCUUCAAAAGCUGACGGGGCUCGGCGGCGUCUUUACUUUGAAAAAAUUAGGGUGCUCAGAACAGGCUUGAGCCUGCAUAUUCGCGCAUGGAAUAAUGGAAUAGGACCUCGGUUCUAUUCUGCUGGUUUUCGGAUCCCGAGGUAAUGAUUGAGAGGGGCAGACGGGGGCAUUCGUACUGCGGCGCUAGAGGUGAAAUUCUUGGACCGCCGCAAGACGGACUACUGCGAAAGCAUUUGCCAAGAAUGUUUUCAUUAAUCAAGAACGAAAGUUAGAGGUUCGAAGGCGAUCAGAUACCGCCCUAGUUCUAACCAUAAACGAUGCCGACCAGCGAUCCGCCCGAGUUCUUCGUACGUCUCGGCGGGCAGCUUCUGGGAAACCAAAGUUUUUGGGUUCCGGGGGAAGUAUGGUUGCAAAGCUGAAACUUGAAGGAAUUGACGGAAGGGCACCACAAGGAGUGGAGCCUGCGGCUUAAUUUGACAACACGGGAAAAACUUACCCGGCCCGGACACCGGAAGGAUUGACAGAUUAAUAGCUCUUUCUUGAUUCGGUGGGUGGUGGUGCAUGGCCGUUCUUAGUUGGUGGAGUGAUUUGUCUGGUUAAUUCCGAUAACGAACGAGACUCCAGCCUGCUAAAUAGACCCACGGUCCGCAGUACCGUGAGCGGGUCGUUCUUAGAGGGACGGGCGGCUCUUAGCCGCAUGAAACGGAGCGAUAACAGGUCUGUGAUGCCCUUACGAUGUCCGGGGCCGGCACGCGCGCUACACUGAAGGGAUCAGAACGCGUUUCCCCUAGCCCGAGAGGGCUGGGAAACCGUGUGAACCCCCUUCGUGCUAGGGAUAGGGGAUUGUAAUUGUUCCCCUCGAACGAGGAAUUCCUAGUAAACGCGAGUCAUCAGCUCGCGUUGAUUACGUCCCUGCCCUUUGUACACACCGCCCGUCGCUACUACCGAUUGAAUGAUUUAGUGAGGUCUUCGGACCGGUCCGGCGGAGGGCCCCGGCCAUUCUCCGGACUCGGGAAGAUGCCCGAACUUGGUCAUUUAGAGGAAGUAAAAGUCGUAACAAGGUUGCCGUUGAACCAGCGGCAG
rnacentral:rRNA from 1 species